UACGUAGGUGGCAAGCGUUGUCCGGAUUUAUUGGGUUUAAAGGGUGCGUAGGCGGUUUUUUAAGUCAGUGGUGAAAUACUUCAGCUUAACUGGAGAGGUGCCAUUGAUACUGGGAAACUUGAGUACUGAUGAGGUAGGCGGAAUGGACGGUGUAGCGGUGAAAUGCUUAGAUAUCGUCCAGAACACCUAUUGCGAAGGCAGCUUACUAAGCUGUAACUGACGCUGAGGCACGAAAGUGUGGGGAUCAAACAGG
rnacentral:rRNA from 1 species